rnacentral:rRNA from 1 species
AGUCGAGCGGUAGCACAGAGAGCUUGCUCUCGGGUGACGAGCGGCGGACGGGUGAGUAAUGUCUGGGAAACUGCCUGAUGGAGGGGGAUAACUACUGGAAACGGUAGCUAAUACCGCAUAACGUCGCAAGACCAAAGUGGGGGACCUUCGGGCCUCAUGCCAUCAGAUGUGCCCAGAUGGGAUUAGCUGGUAGGUGGGGUAACGGCUCACCUAGGCGACGAUCCCUAGCUGGUCUGAGAGGAUGACCAGCCACACUGGAACUGAGACACGGUCCAGACUCCUACGGGAGGCAGCAGUGGGGAAUAUUGCACAAUGGGCGCAAGCCUGAUGCAGCCAUGCCGCGUGUGUGAAGAAGGCCUUCGGGUUGUAAAGCACUUUCAGCGGGGAGGAAGGCGGUGAGGUUAAUAACCUCAUCGAUUGACGUUACCCGCAGAAGAAGCACCGGCUAACUCCGUGCCAGCAGCCGCGGUAAUACGGAGGGUGCAAGCGUUAAUCGGAAUUACUGGGCGUAAAGCGCACGCAGGCGGUCUGUCAAGUCGGAUGUGAAAUCCCCGGGCUCAACCUGGGAACUGCAUUCGAAACUGGCAGGCUAGAGUCUUGUAGAGGGGGGUAGAAUUCCAGGUGUAGCGGUGAAAUGCGUAGAGAUCUGGAGGAAUACCGGUGGCGAAGGCGGCCCCCUGGACAAAGACUGACGCUCAGGUGCGAAAGCGUGGGGAGCAAACAGGAUUAGAUACCCUGGUAGUCCACGCUGUAAACGAUGUCGAUUUGGAGGUUGUGCCCUUGAGGCGUGGCUUCCGGAGCUAACGCGUUAAAUCGACCGCCUGGGGAGUACGGCCGCAAGGUUAAAACUCAAAUGAAUUGACGGGGGCCCGCACAAGCGGUGGAGCAUGUGGUUUAAUUCGAUGCAACGCGAAGAACCUUACCUGGUCUUGACAUCCACAGAACUUUCCAGAGAUGGAUUGGUGCCUUCGGGAACUGUGAGACAGGUGCUGCAUGGCUGUCGUCAGCUCGUGUUGUGAAAUGUUGGGUUAAGUCCCGCAACGAGCGCAACCCUUAUCCUUUGUUGCCAGCGGUUAGGCCGGGAACUCAAAGGAGACUGCCAGUGAUAAACUGGAGGAAGGUGGGGAUGACGUCAAGUCAUCAUGGCCCUUACGACCAGGGCUACACACGUGCUACAAUGGCAUAUACAAAGAGAAGCGACCUCGCGAGAGCAAGCGGACCUCAUAAAGUAUGUCGUAGUCCGGAUUGGAGUCUGCAACUCGACUCCAUGAAGUCGGAAUCGCUAGUAAUCGUAGAUCAGAAUGCUACGGUGAAUACGUUCCCGGGCCUUGUACACACCGCCCGUCACACCAUGGGAGUGGGUUGCAAAAGAAGUAGGUAGCUUANCCUUCGGGAGGGCG